rnacentral:lncRNA from 1 species
UUUAAUCCCGCUGCAAAUGUUUGCACCUGUCCUAAGUCAGUAAUCUGAUGUACAGUAGUUGUCGUUUGUUUAUGUAAUAUAUACGUGUUUCUCGUUUCUCGUUUUGUUUAUAUAGAUUAGACCGUUGGUUUUCCCGUUUGAAUGGUUUUACACUAGUAAUUUUGGGGCCCUUUAUAGCUUGUUGUUCGGUGUGAGCCAAGGCUCCGUGUUGGAGGCCGUACUUUAACCUAUAAUGGUUUACUUUUUAAAUUGUUAUUUGUAUGGAGAGUUGUCUCAUUGGCACUCACACCACAUCUUCCUAUAUCAAGGUA